rnacentral:rRNA from 1 species
CGAAUGAACAAGGACAUGCUUAGCUUGACAAUUGGAGCCUCUGGCUUCGACUUGUAUUUUUGAAAUGUAUUACCAACAGAGGUGCAGGUGUCAGCCUAUUGAAAGAAAGCGUCAAUGAGGGUGAGAAUCCUGUUUGUCAUGUGCAAUCCUCUGUGCACGGUGUAUGUUUGCUGAGUCACACUCCUUGGCAUUGGAAUGCAAAGUGGGUGGUAAGUUUCAUGUAAAGGUAAAUAUAGGAUUGAGACUGAUAGCACACAAGUACCAUGAGGGAAAUAUGAAAAGGACUUUGAAAAGAGAAUUAAAUGAGUUUGUAUUUGCUGAACAGAAAAUAAACAGAUUUGAUGUUGCUUGGUGAGAUUGUGGUGCUUGCUUGACAAUAGGUUUUGAUUGUGGGUGUGAUGAUUCUUGCUUUGCUUGCCAGUUUCUAUUUGUACAUUUGAUUACCCUUGCACAUGAAUGGUAAUUUUCCUGCGGGGUUUGGAUUGCAUGUGUUUGUGAUGAUUUGUGUUUUGAUACAUGUGUCUGGUGCUUUUGUAAUUGCUCAUUUCUUGAAGCUGGGCCUACCCUACUAGAGCUUACAAGCCCUGGCACACAAUUGCUGGC